AUUGAACGCUGGCGGCAUGCUUUACGCAUGCAAGUCGAACGGUAACAGGUUAAGCUGACGAGUGGCGAACGGGUGAGUAAUGCAUCGGAACGUGCCCGAUCGUGGGGGAUAACGCAGCGAAAGCUGCGCUAAUACCGCAUACGAUCUGAGGAUGAAAGCGGGGGACCGUAAGGUCUCGCGCGAUCGGAGCGGCCGAUGUCAGAUUAGGUAGUUGGUGGGGUAAAGGCUCACCAAGCCAACGAUCUGUAGCUGGUCUGAGAGGACGACCAGCCACACUGGGACUGAGACACGGCCCAGACUCCUACGGGAGGCAGCAGUGGGGAAUUUUGGACAAUGGGCGAAAGCCUGAUCCAGCAAUGCCGCGUGCAGGAAGAAGGCCUUCGGGUUGUAAACUGCUUUUGUACGGAGCGAAAAGGUCUCCUCUAAUACAGGGGGCUCAUGACGGUACCGUAAGAAUAAGCACCGGCUAACUACGUGCCAGCCGCCGCCGUAA
rnacentral:rRNA from 1 species